CAGUGAAGACACAUUUUAUUUUCACAGACACUAUCAGAUUUAAAUCCCUGAAUUGCGUUCAGCUUGCUAAACACAUCUUCCACUACACAACCUUGCAAGAUUUACAAAGUAACUUACAGAGGUUUAAGUACAUUAAAUUUUUCUUGAAUGCCACAAGUCAGAAGUUGCUAAAGCAGUACUCUUCAUUACUGCUUGAAUUAGUGUUGCUUAUAAAAGCACACGUUUGAAAUAGAUCCCUGUCCUGUUCAUGUUUCUUUUUGCCACUCUGCAUCACAGAGGCUACUGAAUUAAAACACAACUUAAGUACUUAAUGCCCAACGUCAGCAACGUUUGAGGUAGUAUGAAUAAAGACAGAAGGGCUGCUCUUCUGCUGGACCGGAUCGAAUAAAACCAGGUGAGAUCCAGCAGGUCACAGCAAAGCAGAGUACCAGCGCUGCAGCCUGUUCAACUGCAGCAUCCUUCUUCACUCCAGUGCACGUUCAGGCUUUGCUUUGGCCCCUGCUCGAGCUGCAGCCACCUGCAUGAGCCAGUGCCAGGACAGCUCCCAGGCUGGCCUGGGACUAAGCUCGGACAGUCCUCCACGGUGUGCACUUGGGGAUGGGUCUUAUCACAGAGGCCUGUAACGUUUAUAGAAAUGCAUGAGCCGCGGCUCCAGGGCCCUAAGCACCCCUGCAUCCCCACACGAGUGCCCCAAGCCAUCCACCCUGCGCCGAGGCCGCCCUGGCCUGGGCGCUCUGUGGGCCGUGCCCCCGUGUGGAGCAGCGGGGGGCGCCCCGCCCGAGCCCCGCUCUCGAGGGCGGUAGCAGAUGCGCGCUCGGCUGUCUUAGGGCCGAAAAGGGCAUGAGGCCCAGGCUCCUUCAAAGCGAUGCUUCUUCCAGCAAAGGGCAGCGGCGCCCCAUCCUCCUCUUCCUAAAGCCCCUGGGACGGCGCAGCAAGCCGUAGGCGUGAGCGCACCCAGCGCAGCACCCGGGCGGGAGGCUCCGGCGCAGAGCUGCCUGCUCCGCCCCGGGACCGGGGCCACCAGCACGGC
rnacentral:lncRNA from 1 species